rnacentral:rRNA from 1 species
AGAGUUUGAUCCUGGCUCAGGACGAACGCUGGCGGCGUGCUUAACACAUGCAAGUCGAACGGAAAGGCCCUGCUUUUGUGGGGUGCUCGAGUGGCGAACGGGUGAGUAACACGUGAGUAACCUGCCCUUGACUUUGGGAUAACUUCAGGAAACUGGGGCUAAUACCGGAUAGGAGCUCCUGCUGCAUGGUGGGGGUUGGAAAGUUUCGGCGGUUGGGGAUGGACUCGCGGCUUAUCAGCUUGUUGGUGGGGUAGUGGCUUACCAAGGCUUUGACGGGUAGCCGGCCUGAGAGGGUGACCGGCCACAUUGGGACUGAGAUACGGCCCAGACUCCUACGGGAGGCAGCAGUGGGAAUAUUGCACAAUGGGCGGAAGCCUGAUGCAGCAACGCCGCGUGCGGGAUGACGGCCUUCGGGUUGUAAACCGCUUUCGCCUGUGACGAAGCGUGAGUGACGGUAAUGGGUAAAGAAGCACCGGCUAACUACGUGCCAGCAGCCGCGGUGAUACGUAGGGUGCGAGCGUUGUCCGGAUUUAUUGGGCGUAAAGGGCUCGUAGGUGGUUGAUCGCGUCGGAAGUGUAAUCUUGGGGCUUAACCCUGAGCGUGCUUUCGAUACGGGUUGACUUGAGGAAGGUAGGGGAGAAUGGAAUUCCUGGUGGAGCGGUGGAAUGCGCAGAUAUCAGGAGGAACACCAGUGGCGAAGGCGUAUAUCUGGUUCAAAUCUGACGCUGAGGCGCGAAGGCGUGGGGAGCAAACAGGAUUAGAUACCCUGGUAGUCCACGCCGUAAACGAUGAGUGCUAAGUGUUAGGGGGUUUCCGCCCCUUAGUGCUGCAGCUAACGCAUUAAGCACUCCGCCUGGGGAGUACGACCGCAAGGUUGAAACUCAAAGGAAUUGACGGGGGCCCGCACAAGCGGUGGAGCAUGUGGUUUAAUUCGAUGCAACGCGA